GACGAACGCUGGCGGCGUGCCUAAUACAUGCAAGUCGAGCGCAGGAAGUCAUCCGACCCCUUCGGGGGGACGUUGACGGAAUGAGCGGCGGACGGGUGAGUAACACGUAAAGAACCUGCCCUCAGGUCUGGGAUAACCACGAGAAAUCGGGGCUAAUACCGGAUGGGUCAUCGGACCGCAUGGUCCGAGGAUGAAAGGCGCUCCGGCGUCGCCUGGGGAUGGCUUUGCGGUGCAUUAGCUAGUUGGUGGGGUAAUGGCCCACCAAGGCGACGAUGCAUAGCCGACCUGAGAGGGUGAUCGGCCACACUGGGACUGAGACACGGCCCAGACUCCUACGGGAGGCAGCAGUAGGGAAUCUUCCACAAUGGACGAAAGUCUGAUGGAGCAACGCCGCGUGAACGAUGAAGGCCCUCGGGUCGUAAAGUUCUGUUGUAAGGGAAGAACAAGUGCCGCAGGCAAUGGUGGCACCUUGACGGUACCUUGCGAGAAAGCCACGGCUAACUACGUG
rnacentral:rRNA from 1 species